CCUGCCCUGUGCCCCUCCUCCCUGCCCCAGUGCCCCCCCAGGCCUCUAUUGUUCCAUGUUGUAAAUACCCCUGGGGCUGUGGAAGGAUGGGGUGCAGGCCAAGGAAACAAAGGGUGGGUGGGGGUGGGGACGGGGGUAACAUUCGCCUAUCAGCAGAGCUGGGCUUUUAUUUAAUUUUUUUUUUUAAAAAUACAAAUCUCUAUUUUUUUGGAACUGUUGCGCUGUGCCCUGGGGGGGGGAUCCCCGCUCAGACUGGCCUCCCACACCCAGAUGAGCAUCACAAGAGGGGCCCUGAGGCUGUGGGGGGUGCAGCUGGACAGGGAUGGGAUGACUGUGCCUCUGGCCUGGUUGGGUGAGUUGGGAGCAGGAAAGUUUGCUCAGGAGGUGGCUGGCUGCUGCCUCCUAUAUGGGGGACCUUGCCUCCCCCCUGCCCUCCAACCCCCAGCCCCUGCCAUGACUGACCCGUCAGCCUGUAAAACCACCAUUGCCUUGAUCUCAGGGGGUGGGAAGGGCUGCCUCAGGGCACCCUGGGCUCCAGGCCCCUUCUUCCAGUUGGGCUUCCCUUUUACCAGGGUCAGGGGUCCCAGGGGGAGGGGGUGGGGAGGUUAGGGGGCAGAGAAGCCCAGUCAG
rnacentral:lncRNA from 1 species